GCCACAACAGUUCGAGGACG
rnacentral:miRNA from 1 species